GAACAGCCUGCCCCUGUAUCAUUUUUUGGCGCAACUGUAUAUAAUAAAUUAGGAGAUUAGUUGAAGAAAUUCAAUUAGAAGGUACUUAAAAAUUAAUUUUCCUUUUUAUAUAAAAGUAUUUCCACUACAAAUUACCAUUGUUGCUCGUGCUUUUGUCCACGCCUUCAUAAUGCUGAAAUUUAUUAUCUCCAAGAGAACAAGAUGCAAAAUAUGGAGUCACUAACUGAACAUUCAGCUUAUUACCUAUAUGAACCCCCAAGCUGAAGGAAAAACAUUAAAUAAAAAUAUGAAAGUUGUGAGUGCACACAAAUAUGAAACGACAUUUGAGAGUGCACACUGGAGAAACACCUCACAAGUAUGAAAUUUAUUUUAAGCAAUUUGGUCAAGCAGGUUCUUUAAAAAGACAUUUGAGAGUGCAUACAAUAGAAAAACCUCAUAAGUGUGAAAUUUGUUUUAAGCAGUUUAGUAGAGAAGACUAUUUAAAAGAGCAUUUAUUGAGAACACACACUGGAAAAAAACCUCACAAGUGUGAAAUUUGUUUAAAGCAAUUUAGUGAAACGUGUAGUUUAAAAAGACAUUUGAAAGUGCAUACUGGAGAAAAAGCUCAUAAGUGUAAAAUUUGCUUUCAGCAAUUUAGUCAUGCAAGUAGUUUAAAAAGACAUUUGAGAGUGCACACUGGAGAAAAACCUCACAAGUGUGAAAUUUGUUUUAAGCAAUUUAGUGAAACGUGUAGUUUAAAAAGACA
rnacentral:lncRNA from 1 species